UCUACUUCCUGUGCUGCCGACGUUAGACAUUACGCUCCUGUCUUGUCGCAACGACAUGUUCACGUCACGCACGAGCUGGUAAAACGUGUACAAAUUAAUUACUUAUCGUGUUAUGUAUUAAAACCUAAGAAAGGUAUUUAUUGUUGUUUGCUCUGUGUUCUGCAUCGUUUAUGUUGCAUGUAAGGACUGUCCCUGUGAGAUGUGUGUGGAAGAUAGGCUGCUAGCAAACGGAGCUCAAACUUAGCGCCCUUGGAAGCAGAAGGAGGUAGGAGGGGAUGAUUUAUCCAUAAAAAUGAGGGAUUUGUUUUAUUUAUUGUUCUUAUUUCAACAAGAGCUGUAACUCUGGUUUGAAGGGUUAAUUUCUUGUGAAAUGCAUUAUUUCAGUUUAUUAAAGGACUGGUGUUAAGGCUAAAAUGUGAAUAUAAUUCUAUGCAAUAUUUGUGAAAUAUGGUGCUAUGAAAAUUUAGGUAUUUUUGUGUCCAUUUCAUAGUUUUCACGGUGUCAAAUGUCAGUCAGUCAAAAGGGGAGGAGAGAAAUUAAAGCUGCACCAGUCGAAGCUCUCUGCAUCUUGCUUUAUUAUUCCAAGCGGGUCGCUACAGUGAAAACUCCUUUCCGGCUACGAGAGACCUGCCAUCCCUGCAGAGAAGCUGAUGCCACCUCACCUGAGAUCCAGCUACCAAACGGAUACCAGCCUGCUGAUUCCGCUCACGUCGAUAUCCUGCACAGGCAAAAUCAAAAAGGACGGCACACUGAAGGACUGUCCCUGUGAGAUGUGUGUGGAAGAUAGGCUGCUAGCAAACGGAGCUCAAACUUAGCGCCCUUGGAAGCAGAAGGAGUUUUCACGGUGUCAAAUGUCAGUCAGUCAAAAGGGGAGGAGAGAAAUUAAAGCUGCACCAGUCGAAGCUCUCUGCAUCUUGCUUUAUUAUUCCAAGCGGGUCGC